CGACCAAUCGGCACCCACUGGCAGGUCACCAGUGCAGGUUUUUUGCCACAAAGGAAACAGGCUGCUCUGAAUCCAAACAGUGCGUGGCUUACAGUGCCACUGACUCAGCAUGAACCACCUCCUCAGCUCCCACAGCAGCCCUGGUCCUCACUGGCCACCCUGGGCACUGCCAGCAAAGCCACCUGAGCUGGCAAGGACAGGGAUGCCCAGGGACGGGGCCAUUGGCAGGACCUUACUCUCAUGCCAAGGUCUUUUUCCUCUGCCAGUUUUCAGUGGAGCUUUCUCUGCACAUCCCCUUGCCUGCUUGUUGCUAGAGCUUGUCACAAGCAUGGGGGUCUCUGUUGGUCACUUGGUCCCUCUCUCCUCCCAGAGCAGGUCCUGGCUGUGGGGCCAUCCCUGGGGGCAGGGCUGGGACCAGCUCACACACAUUCCUUGCAGGUCUCAGGUCCCUUGGCAGAGCUCUGCAAGCAGCUGCUUCCCUCUCUCUCUGCAUUAAGAUUAAUGUUUGAGCAGCAGUUGUCCCAUCCAUCUCUCUGGGAGACUUCCUCCAAACAAAUAGCAGGAGGAGGUGGCAUCUAUUUGAGAAUGACAGGGCUUCAAUCUAUUUAUUCCACAGGUACAAUCAUGAGUGGAAGCAGCAGUGGUAGUGACAGCAAUUCCCCAGUGAGCAGCAGAGCCUGAGGACCAGGAGGGUAAUGGUGAGAAACACCUGAGGUGGGCUGGGGGAAGAGGGGGGAAAGGAGGAGUAAUGUGGUAUUCAGGCUGUACAGCUGCAGUGGAAGGGAAAUGCUGUUAAAGAACUGGGUGUGGUUCUGAAAAUCCAGACUGGGGGUAUUUCAUCUUGGAAUGCAAUUACAUUCCUGUAAAAUCUUUCACUGACAUGAUGCUGGCUGUGGAGGUGAGCACCAGAGACCUUCUGCCCACGACUUUGCAGGAUUAAGUCAGCUUGUGAGUGAGCAGUGAUGCAUGAAUAACCAAGAGAGAAUGUGUGUCCUUUCAUGAGCGUUCAUGCUAGAUCUGUGUCCUGAGAGGAAAGCAAUGUUUGGGUCGCAGGGCCGGGCAGUGGGAACCUUAAAUUCCACGGGAAAUAAAAAUGAAAGAAGCAGUGAUAUUGAGAACUUC
rnacentral:lncRNA from 1 species